UAAGAAUUAGUUUAACAAAAACAUUUGAUUUCGACUCAAAAGACUUUGGAUAAACCCCAAAAUUCUUAU
rnacentral:tRNA from 1 species